rnacentral:rRNA from 1 species
UACGUAGGGCGCGAGCGUUGUCCGGAAUUAUUGGGCGUAAAGAGCUCGUAGGCGGUUUGUCGCGUCUGCCGUGAAAGUCCGGGGCUCAACUCCGGAUCUGCGGUGGGUACGGGCAGACUAGAGUGAUGUAGGGGAGACUGGAAUUCCUGGUGUAGCGGUGAAAUGCGCAGAUAUCAGGAGGAACACCGAUGGCGAAGGCAGGUCUCUGGGCAUUAACUGACGCUGAGGGAAGCUGGAAAGCA